rnacentral:rRNA from 1 species
CCUACGGGAGGCAGCAGUAGGGAAUCUUUCACAAUGGGCGAAAGCCUGAUGGAGCAACGCCGCGUGCAGGAUGAAGGCCUUCGGGUUGGAAACUGCUUUUAUAAGCGAGAAAUAUGAUGGUAACUUAUGAAUAAGGAUCGGAUAACUACGUGCCAGCAGCCGCAGUCAUACGUAGGAGCCGAGCAUUAUCCGGAGUGACUGGGUGUAAAGAGUGGCGUAGGUGGCAUAAUAAGUAGCUAGGGAAAUCUGGUGGCUCAACCAUUCAGACUAUUAGCUAAACUGUUAAGCUCGCGACCGUUAGGGGUAACUGGAAUUCGUAGUGUAGCAGUGAAAUGCGUAGAUAUUAGAAGGAACACCGAUAGCGUAGGCAGGUUACUGGGACGGUACUGACACUAAGGCACGAAAGCGUAGGGAUCAAACAGGAUUAGAUACACCGGUAGUC